rnacentral:rRNA from 1 species
UACAGAGGUCCCGAGCGUUGUUCGGAUUCACUGGGCGUAAAGGGUGCGUAGGCGGUCGGGUGAGUCUGAUGUGAAGUCUCACAGCUUAACUGUGAAACUGCAUUGGAUACUAUUCGGCUUGAGAGUUGGAGGGGGGACUGGAAUUCUCGGUGUAGCAGUGAAAUGCGUAGAUAUCGAGAGGAACACCAGUGGCGAAGGCGGCCAGCUAGACCAGUUCUGACACUGAGGCGCGACAGCGUGGGGAGCAAACAGG